CAGAGUAACAAUUGGAGGGCAAGUCUGGUGCCAGCAGCCGCGGUAAUUCCAGCUCCAAUAGCGUAUAUUAAACUUGUUGCAGUUAAAAAGCUCGUAGUUGAAUUUCUGCGUUAUCGAGUUAUUGACUCCUGUCUUUAAUCGAUUUCGCUUUUGGGAUUUAUCCCUUUUUACUUUGAGAAAAUUAGAGUGUUUCAAGCAGACUUUUGUCUUGAAUACUUCAGCAUGGAAUAAUAGAGUAGGACUUUGGUUCUAUUUUGUUGGUUUUUGAACCUUAGUAAUGGUUAAUAGGAACGGUUGGGGGCAUUCGUAUUUAACUGUCAGAGGUGAAAUUCUUAGAUUUGUUAAAGACGAACUACUGCGAAAGCAUUUGCCAAGGACGUUUCCAUUAAUCAAGAACGAAAGUUAGGGGAUCGAAGACGAUCAGAUACCGUCGUAGUCCUAACCAUAAACUAUGCCGACUAGGGAUUGGAGGUCGUCAUUUUUCCGACUCCUUCAGCACCUUGAGAGAAAUC
rnacentral:rRNA from 1 species